AGAAAAGAGGAAAAAAAAGGAAGAAAAAGAAAGUUUUUACUCCAUCAAUUCUCUCUGGAAGUAGAUUGCAUUUUUCUCAUAAGUCCUUCUGAAUGAUCUUGGAUCAUUGAGAAUAGCUAAGUCAUUCACACAGUAGAUACAACAUUACUCUAACUGUGUACGCUGUUCUCUUGGAUCUGUUCACUUAACGUUGCAUCAGUUCUUUCUAGGUUGUUCUGAAAGCAUCCUGCUCGUCAUUUCUUAUAGCACAAUGAUAUUCCAUUAUAAUCAUAUAUCACAACUUGUUCAGCCGUCCCCACGCGAUGGAUAGCUCCAAUUCUUUGCCAUCACAAAAAGAGCUGCUAUAAACCGGCUCACACAAGGUUCCUGUGACUUUCUGACAUUUUCUUAAUUACUUUCUUUAGAUGUUCAACCAAACAAUGAAAACAUUUGUAGAGUUCAUUGAUUUUGAGGUAUAAGUGUUCACACUGAAAAUUUAACAAUCAGAGGUUCUAGGAGAGACCAGGAUGCCACAGUUUACCUACUAUAAUCAUCCUUGCCUGGAACUCACAGAAUGAGGUACAAAUCCCGAGGACUAAAAAGUCCCAGAUAAAGACUAUCCACAGAGCACAAAGGGAUGUCUGAAGUUUCAGUGUCAUUACAAACUAGAAAGGCCCCAAAUGGGGGCUUCCCGGAGGUAGUGGGAUUUGAGAGUUUAAAGGAAGGCUUGGAAUUCAACAGGGGAAGUUCUGGACAAAGAUGCAGAAGUAGAGUGAGCUCUUUGAGAUCAGAUUGGGUGGAAAGAAAUAUUAAGAGAAAGAGCUAGAAAGCUGAGAAGGAAGAGGAGCUUGAGUUUUUCUCAUAAGGCAAUAGAGAACCAUUGAAGGCUUCAAAGCUGAUACGACCAGCUGAUGCUGGAAGGGUAGAUGAGUCUCAGAGGAGCAGGAAGAGACUUACCGACAGAAGUAGUUUGAGUGACUAAUAGAUUUAUAUUAUUUAUUUUUUCAAUUACAUGUAAAAUGUAAUUUAUUUAUUAUGAUGUCAUAUUAAUUUAUUAAUAAUCUAAUAACACGAUAGUAUUAAUAGAUUAUGUCAAUUAUAUAUUGGAUUAUAGUCCAGGCUCAUAGGGUCACACAUUAUACAGAAUGCUAUCUGAGGAAGGAAUCAUCCCUCAAAGAAUUCUGCUAACUCUGGUGUUUUGCCUUAUCUGAAUCAGGGCUAGUAUAUUCCUUGGUGAUUAGAUUGGGCUACAGGGCUCCUUUGCUUUACAACCUCCCUAGCAUCUGGGGCCAUCUAGAGUUAGUCUAUUGUUUGAUACUCUGGUUCAAAGGUGUCUGGCUUUAUUUCUCCGCUUCAGGGCUGGCAGGGAAGUACCAGGAGCCCCGAGCUUAUAUCCUUUUUGGGUGAGUAUGUUCUCAUAGUCUGUAAAUGAUCAAUAAACCCCGUGCUGAGUUUAACUUAAUGAUCGACUCAGUGUCUCACUUCCUUCCUCAAAGUCACUUAACAGGAAGGUUACUGACUAGAUCUACCCCAAAGGUCAUUCAUUCUAGCAGCAAGAGAAGGUUCCAAAUUUUCUUUCUUUCUCCCACUUUCCCACACUGAACAGGCAAGAAAACAAUACCCAUUAUACUUAAGAAGUCAUUUGAAACAUUUCUCCAAUGAGUUCUGGUGUGGAAAAGAAAACAAAUAAAGAAAAUUAUCUUUUUAAAUCUGCUUUAAGUUCAACAGUUCACUCUCUGGAGACGAAUAGCACUGUUCCACAUGAGCCUUAUAGAAUUGUUGUAUUAAUCAGGGUAGCUAAAUCUUUACCAAGAGAUUGUUGUUACAGGAUUGCUGAUACUGUAUACAAUA